GUGGCUGGCGGCUGGGUGCCUUCUACUGGUGCUGUGCAGAGGUUUUCCCUAAGGCUGCUGUGAGCCUGUAGGGUUUCCCCCUAGGCUACUAAGCUGG
rnacentral:pre_miRNA from 1 species